AUACGGAGGGUCCAAGCGUUAUCCGGAAUCAUUGGGUUUAAAGGGUCCGCAGGCGGUCAAUUAAGUCAGAGGUGAAAGCCCAUCGCUCAACGAUGGAACUGCCUUUGAUACUGGUUGACUUGAGUUAUACGGAAGUAGAUAGAAUAAGUAGUGUAGCGGUGAAAUGCAUAGAUAUUACUUAGAAUACCGAUUGCGAAGGCAGUCUACUACGUAUAUACUGACGCUGAGGGACGAAAGCGUGGGGAGCGAACAGGAUUAGAAACCCCUGUAGUCC
rnacentral:rRNA from 1 species